GGCCUUUCGGGGUACUCGAGCGGCGAACGGGUGAGUAACACGUGAGUAACCUGCCCCUGGCUUUGGGAUAACCAUCGGAAACGGUGGCUAAUACCGAAUAUUCACUGCGGACCGCAUGGUUUGUUGUGGAAAGUUUUUCGGCUGGGGAUGGGCUCGCGGCCUAUCAGCUUGUUGGUGGGGUGAUGGCCUACCAAGGCUUUGACGGGUAGCCGGCCUGAGAGGGCGACCGGCCACACUGGGACUGAGACACGGCCCAGACUCCUACGGGAGGCAGCAGUGGGGAAUAUUGCACAAUGGGCGGAAGCCUGAUGCAGCGACGCCGCGUGAGGGAUGACGGCCUUCGGGUUGUAAACCUCUUUCAGCAGGGACGAAGCGAAAGUGACGGUACCUGCAGAAGAAGCGCCGGCCAACUACGUGCCAGCAGCCGCGGUAAGACGUAGGGCGCGAGCGUUGUCCGGAUUUAUUGGGCGUAAAGAGCUCGUAGGCGGCUUGUUGCGUCGUCCGUGAAAACCUGGGGCUCAACUCCAGGCUUGCGGUCGAUACGGGCAGGCUAGAGUUCGGUAGGGGAGACUGGAAUUCCUGGUGUAGCGGUGAAAUGCGCAGAUAUCAGGAGGAACACCGGUGGCGAAGGCGGGUCUCUGGGCCGAUACUGACGCUGAGGAGCGAAAGCGUGGGGAGCGAACAGGAUUAGAUACCCUGGUAGUCCACGCUGUAAACGUUGGGCGCUAGGGUGUGGGGGGCCUCUCCGGUUUCCUGCGCCGUAGCUAACGCAUUAAGCGCCCCGCCUGGGGAGUACGGCCGCAAGGCUAAAACUCAAAGGAAUUUGACGGGGGCCCGCACAAGCGGCGGAGCAUGCGGAUUAAUUCGAUGCGACGCGAAGAACCUUACCUGGGUUUGACAUGGCCGUUAAAGCCGUAGAGAUACGGUGUCCUUCGGGGGCGGUCACAGGUGGUGCAUGGCUGUCGUCAGCUCGUGUCGUGAGAUGUUGGGUUAAGUCCCGCAACGAGCGCAACCCUCGUUCCAUGUUGCCAGCGGGUAAUGCCGGGGACUCAUGGGAGACUGCCGGGGUCAACUCGGAGGAAGGUGGGGAUGACGUCAAGUCAUCAUGCCCCUUAUGUCCAGGGCUUCACGCAUGCUACAAUGGCCGGUACAAUGGGCUGCGAUACCGUGAGGUGGAGCGAAUCCCAAAAAGCCGGUCUCAGUUCGGAUCGGGGUCUGCAACUCGACCCCGUGAAGUCGGAGUCGCUAGUAAUCGCAGAUCAGCAACGCUGCGGUGAAUACGUUCCCGGGCCUUGUACACACCGCCCGUCACGUCACGAAAGUCGGCAACACCCGAAGCCCA
rnacentral:rRNA from 1 species